rnacentral:rRNA from 1 species
UGAGCAACCUACCGAAAUGAGGGGGAUAGCCGGCCCAACGGCCGGGUAAUACCGCAUACGCUCGAGACCAGGCAUUUGGACUCGAGGAAACCUCCGGGGCAUUUCGAGGGGCUCGCGGCCUAUCAGCUAGUUGGUGAGGUAACGGCUCACCAAGGCGACGACGGGUAGCUGGUCUGAGAGGAUGGCCAGCCACAUUGGGACUGAGAUACGGCCCAGACUCCGUACGGGAGCAG